GUGCUCGCUUAGGCAGCACUUGUGCUAAACUUGGAACGAUACAGAGAGGUUAGCAUGGCCCCUGCUCAAGGAUGACACGUAAAUUCGUGAAGUGAUCCAUACUUAA
ensembl:snRNA LOC120097653 U6 spliceosomal RNA